rnacentral:lncRNA from 1 species
CAUAAACCUUGUGUUUAAAUUUCAUAGAUUUCUAUUUACUUAUACUAAAGUUAUAGUGCGAAAACCAAAUAUCUUUGGAUGACGACGACGAUGUCAACGGCAACGUCAUACCAAUAUACGACCAAAAUUUUUUCAUUUUUUGCGGUUGUAUAAAAACAAAUAUACACAGAUAAAUGGUUAAACUGUUGAGCAGACAUACAAUUACCCGGCCACGUCCAC